AGUACAAAGUGAAACUGCGAAUGGCUCAUUAUAUAAGUUAUCGUUUAUUUGAUAUUGCCUAUCCUACAUGGAUAACAGUGGUAAUUCUAGAGCUAAUACAUGCUGAAAAUCCCGACUUCGGAAGGGACGUAUUUAUUAGAAUCAGAACCAAUGCCCUUCGGGGUUCCUUGGUGACUCAUGAUAACUCCACAGAUCGCAUGGCCUUGCGCCGGCGAUGGCUCAUUCAAAUUUCUUCCCUAUCAACUUUCGACGGUACGGUAUUGGCCUACCGUGGUUGUAACGGGUGACGGAGGGUUAGGGCUCGACCCCGGAGAGGGAGCCUGAGAAACGGCUACCACAUCCAAGGAAGGCAGCAGGCGCGCAAAUUAUCCAAUCCCGACACGGGGAGAUAGUGACAAUAAAUACCGAUACAGGGCUCUUUUGGGCCCUGUAAUUGGAAUGAGUACAAUUUAAACCUCUUAACGAGGAACAAUUGGAGGGCAAGUCUGGUGCCAGCAGCCGCGGUAAUUCCAGCUCCAAUAGCGUAUAUUAAAGUUGUUGUGGUUAAAAAGCUCGUAGUCGAACCUCGAACCUGGCCGGCCGGUCCGCCUCACCGCGUGCACUGGUCUGGCCGGGUUCUUCCCUCUGCGGAACCGCAUGUCCUUCACUGGGCGUGUCGGGGAGGCAGGACUUUUACUUUGAAAAAAUUAGAGUGCUCAAGGCAGGCCAAUGCUCGAAUACAUUAGCAUGGAAUAAUAGAAUAGGACGUUGGUUCUAUUUUGUUGGUUUCUAGGACCGCCGUAAUGAUCAAUAGGGACGGUCGGGGGCAUCAGUAUUCAGCCGUCAGAGGUGAAAUUCUUGGACCGGCUGAA
rnacentral:rRNA from 1 species